rfam:Anopheles gambiae str. PEST chromosome 2L, whole genome shotgun sequence.
UUAAACUAGUUCAGUUUAAGGGAAGUUUAAGGCUCCAGUUUAAGGGAAUUUGCUCGAAUUCCCGAUUAUUCGUGCUAUAAAAUGUCAGUUGGGAUGUGCCACCACAUAUCCAGGCUUGGGUACACGGGCUUGACCCAACUCCUUGGGCGGAUGGUGGCAUAUGGCAAACCAGAAGGGU